rnacentral:rRNA from 1 species
UACGUAGGUGGCAAGCGUUGUCCGGAUUUACUGGGCGUAAAGAGCGCGCAGGCGGUCGUUCAAGUCGCGUGUGAAAGCCCCCGGCUCAACUGGGGAGGGUCACGCGAUACUGAUCGACUCGAAGGCAGGAGAGGGAAGUGGAAUUCCCGGUGUAGUGGUGAAAUGCGUAGAUAUCGGGAGGAACACCAGUGGCGAAGGCGACUUCCUGGCCUGUUCUUGACGCUGAGGCGCGAAAGCUAAGGGAGCAAC